AAUUUUAGGAGGUUGAGUUACUUAUCUUAGACAAGUUUGAUGAAUUUUGCAGCCCCACAUUUUCACAAGCAGCAGUAAUUUUGUUCUUCAAUAGUCUUGCAGAUGGUGGCUUGAUGGCUUCAUUGCUGUAUUUUUUGAAAGCACAUUUCUAAUUCGACAAGAACCAGUUUGCAGAUUUGAUGAUGAUUUCAGGAAUAGGAGCAACUCUUACACAACUACUUUUAAUGCCAAUAUUAAUACCUACUCUAGAGAAGAGAAGUUGCUCUCAACAGGGCUCUUAGUUAGCUGCAUCAAUAUGUUUGUGUACAGCAUAUCUUGGGCAGGAUGGGUUCCUUAUGCUCUAGCAGGUUGUUCUAUUUUUGGGGUUUUUGUGCGCCCAAGUGUAAGUAUCCGUUCCUAUUUGGUAACUUAUAACUAACUUUGAAAUAAUAAUUUCAUAUCUCACAUUGUGCUUGGUACAGAUAUACAGCAUUGCAUCCAAACAAGUUGGUCCUAAUGAACAGG